rnacentral:tRNA from 1 species
GGAGGGUUGGCAGAGCGGCCAAUUGCACGAGUUUCGAAAACUCGAGGGUUUUACCCUACACAGGUUCGAAU